GUCUGCGGCCAUACCACCUUAAACGUGCCCAAUCUCCUCUGGUCUCAGAAGCUAAGCAGCAUUGGGCCUGAUUAGUACAGGAGACAAAUCUUCAAAAGAGACUGCUCAGAGACAAGUGGUUUGGAGACA
rnacentral:rRNA from 1 species